CUUGUCUGCGGUUUGUAGCUGAGCCGAGGAGAGUUGGUACUGAUCUAGAAUCCAUUUUCAGACGUUGAGCAAGUCCAGUUCUGUAUUGGCCCAAGUUGAGGAAGCAGUCUUCGGUGAAAUGUUUGGCGCAGACUGGCGGAUCAUUUCCAGAGAAAAUAAAAUCAACCCACUGGUUCUUUAGAGGCUCGGAUGAAGGAACUAAAAAUAUACUUUUGUGCUCAUUCGUACAUCCAAACACUGAGCAACUGCCCUCCUUCGCUCGUUUGCGAGCCAUGAUGAGAUCUCUCCAGGAAAUAACUUUUGGUGUGUUCAAAACGCCUCGGAUACCAAUAUUCCGUGGUGCUUCUUUUGUUAAAGCAUUGCCGCAUUCAAAACAGCUCCGAGGUUCGGAAGAGUGUUCAAAGCACUUUCCUUCGAGCUUAAUGUCCGAACCUCCUGGGAACUCCGACCGUUUUGAAUGCAAGACAGGAAAUGACGGAUGGUGUCCGAUGCAUCCGGAACACACCAUCAGCUCAUUUUCUCAUGUGCGGUCGCCGACCAGGCCAUAUUCCC
ensembl:lncRNA